GCUGGCGGAAUGCUUUACACAUGCAAGUCGAACGGCAGCACGGACUUCGGUCUGGUGGCGAGUGGCGAACGGGUGAGUAAUACAUCGGAACGUGCCCGGACGUGGGGGAUAACUACUCGAAAGAGUGGCUAAUACCGCAUACGAUCCAAGGAUGAAAGCGGGGGAUCGCAAGACCUCGCGCGUUUGGAGCGGCCGAUGGCAGAUUAGGUAGUUGGUGAGGUAAAGGCUUACCAAGCCUGCGAUCUGUAGCUGGUCUGAGAGGAUGAUCAGCCACACUGGGACUGAGACACGGCCCAGACUCCUACGGGAGGCAGCAGUGGGGAAUUUUGGACAAUGGGCGAAAGCCUGAUCCAGCCAUUCCGCGUGCAGGAUGAAGGCCCUCGGGUUGUAAACUGCUUUUGUACGGAACGAAAAGGCUCUUGCUAAUACCAGGAGUCCAUGACGGUACCGUAAGAAUAAGCACCGGCUAACUACGUG
rnacentral:rRNA from 1 species